UACGUAGGGACCAAGCGUUGUUCGGAUUUACUGGGCGUAAAGGGCGCGUAGGCGGCGUGUUAAGUCAGCUGUGAAAUCUCCGAGCUUAACUCGGAACGGUCAGCUGAUACUGAUGUGCUAGAGUGCAGAAGGGGCAAUCGGAAUUCUUGGUGUAGCGGUGAAAUGCGUAGAUAUCAAGAGGAACACCUGAGGUGAAGACGGGUUGCUGGGCUGACACUGACGCUGAUGCGCGAAAGCCAGGGGAGGCAAACGGG
rnacentral:rRNA from 1 species